rnacentral:lncRNA from 1 species
UUGAAGCUUCUAAGAUGGGCUCAAAGAGCACCCAUCAAUCCGUAAAAUCCGGCCUUUAAUUUUAAAAUCAACGGCUAAAAUUAAAUCAAAUGGCCACGAUGUAAAAAACAAAAACCCUAGCUAGCAACACACAUUUUCAUCCUUUCACUGCAAACCCUAGCCUUUUUCCUUUUCCUCCGCGGCUACAUUUCCACUCUCGUUCCCACAAUAUCAAAGUAAAAAUGAAGGUGGUCGCCGUUUACUUACUUGCCGUACUCGGAGGAAACGCUUCUCCUUCCACCGAUGACUUGAAGGUUAUUCUCGGAUCAAGUCAUUUUUCUCACUCUUUUCUCUUUUACUCGAUUUGCUCUCUCUGUUUUUGAAAUCUGGCGGUGCUUGUUUUCAAUAAUUUUAUGGUCAAUUUAGCUACGGAAUUUAGGGAAAUUUUCCAUGUAAUUUUUGUGUUUUAGCAUUAUUUAAGAAUCAGUUCCUGUACUAAGUCUUUUAUUUUCAAUUUAAAAAUUCUAGUCUAGUCGAUGACUUUAAAAGUAUUUUCAUUUUCAUUUUUUUAAAAUAUAUAUAUUAUCUCUGCAGGUGUGGAACCAAAGCAAAGAGGAAAAGGUGAUUUCGCCCCCUGCAUUUCAUUUUAUAUUACAGAAUUUAUCAUUUACAGAUCUUUAUUUACUAUUCUUAUCUUUAAAGGAGUAGGGGAAUUAAAUUUUAUAAUAAUGGAAGCAGCCUCGUGCAGUCUCGAGCUUUGUGAGGUUAGUCCUGACUCUUAAGCUAUUUUUUACUUGCUUCUUCAACUGAUUCUUUGCUCUUUACAUUUUUCUAUGCAUUAUUUUAUUUUAUUGAUAGCAUGAAAUAAUAUUUCUCUGGCUAGAUGGUUUUCAAUUAAGCUCCUCCUUUUACCUUACUUUCUCGUCAAUGGACUAAGUCCAUUUCCUAAUUACGUUUGCUUAGAAAGAUAGAUAUGUAAACCUAACGGUCAUUUGUGGCUGUGUUGGUCAGUGUUAAGAUAAAGCGUUGAAAUUUUAAAACUUCUAUUGACGGUAAUUAAAGUUUAAAGGGAUAUGAUUUUGAUAGUAAUAUUUCUUGCUUUAAAAGAAUACAAGAUAAGAUAUUCUAAUUGCAGAUUAAUUUGGGUUCAUUUCUUGUAGUACAAAUUUAAUAUUUGGUUAAUAUUGGCUUCUGAAUGAAGUUUUCUCAUUUCUGUGUAUCUAGUAGUUAGGGAUUUUCUAUAUAUUUAUCCUGACUUUGAUUUAUUUCCAAAUGCCCGUAUGAAUGUGGCCUAGUGUCGGUUUUCUUACCUUUUUCUUUUAUUGUUAUUAGCAUUUAUACAACCAUUUGACAAAGAACAUCUAAUAAGCUGAGGACUGAUCUUGCACAUGGCUUUCUAGAGAUAUUCUAAAGUUUUAGAAGGAUCACUUGUCAUCCUGUUGAAGCCUUAUUGAGGAUGAGCCUUAGAUUGUUAUAGCAUUCACCAUUUUACAUGAAAUCAUCACUUUUUAGGAGCUUGAAAUUCCUAGAUAUAAACAUAAAUAAAACGUUACUAAUUUAAUGUCGAAAUUUGAGUCUCAUCAAUAUUUUUGUUUCACUUAUUAAAAAAAGUUAUAGAUUAAGUCUUUCGGUUUGAGAUUAGCCAAGAUUUAGUGGAGUUACCAGCUUUAGAUAUGUGGGAACUUGUUUCACGUUGUACUCAUCAUAUGAUAUUUCAUACUGGCCCAAGUUUGAGGUAUACAACCGUUGUUUAAAUAGAUGCCAUUUGAGAUCAACACCUUAAAAAUGUCCGGUGAGGUAAGACAACAAACAGCGGAAGAUAUCUCAAAUUUUAAUUAUACAGCCAUGGGUAUGAGAUUAGUACUAUUUUAAUCGGGAUGAUCUUUAAGUAAAAUCUUCAUAAUAAUGAUAAUUUUAAGAUAUAAACUUAGUCUAAUUCCAUUUCUUGCAAUUACUUAUAAGUAUUUAUAGGUUUAAUUUUAACACUUUAACUUUCAUUGGCACAUUUUUUAUUGUUUUAUUUAAUUUGUAAAAUUAAUGAAAUAUCUUGAUGUAUGGAUUUACGACAUUAAGAAUGGAUAAAAUUCCAUAUCAGUCUGCUACAGAAGAAGCAACAUGUUAUUUUCAUCUUUAAAAAUAUAUAUAAUUGUUAUUGCUAUACCAUUUAUAUUUGAAAAUGUGAAUUCAAAUUUUUAAAAAGAGAUAAGAAUUGAAAAACCUAUAAAUUCCAUAAUAGAAUGAGCUAGAUUGAAUUGUGACAAUAUAUAUAUAUCAACGAAAUAUACUCUCUCUCUUUUUUUUUAUCUUACAAAUUUGCUUAAAAACUGACAACAAUCAACCAAAAGUUAAAUAAAAUCUUCAUCUUUCUUAACAUUCUUAGACUAAUGUUUUUCUGUGCAGCGACAAAUGAAAGAAUAUAACAGUGACGUGAGACAAAACAGCCGCCGCUUCAAUGCGGUUACAAACGACAACAUGUUUUAAGGAGGAAAAAGUUGGAAUCCUAGUGCUGCACUUGCACAAAAUAAGUUUUCAAUCAUAUUUUCUAUCCAACAGCCAUUCUUUGGUCACAAAAUGAUUAAAAUAUAUAUGAUUAAAAUCAUAGACUUCUUUUAAUGUUUUUGUCUUAUCAAAUCUAGGAUCUAAAAGCAAGAUAGAAGGAACUUAAAGCAAAAAGAUGCUAAAUUGAAUAAGCGUGAACGGGUAAUUUGUUGUUGGCUGUUUACACUCGAGUGAGGCUGGCCCUUGAAUAAUAAGUGUGGUGUUUCCGAUUUAUUUUUGCGGUAUUCGAUAUCAAUUGUGAUAAGUUGUUCCUUUCGCAUUGCAGUUACAAAUUAUACAGAUUUCUAAAGUAAUUUAAAUAUUGAUAUCUUGGCACAAAAAAAUCAAAACCAUAGUUUUUGAAUCUGAAUUUCCUAUUCAUAUUUCAGUUUAGUUUUUCUGUCUGAAUGCUUGUAAAAUAUCUUUAUGUUCUGUAGUCUUUCUAUUAUAAAAAUACUAAAAUUAUGCAAUGACUUGAUUUUUAUAUGUUCGGAUGCAAUAUGUAAUUGUGUUGUAUGUAAGGUGGUUUUGCUAUUCAUUUUGCUCUUAGAUUAAUUUGUCCUUGUAGUAACUGAAUGUUAACUUUAUAUUUUGCAGGAAUUGAGAAGGAAAGAGGAUGCAAUAGCACGAGGUAGGUUCUUUUUUAUUUUUUAUCUUGAUGAGUCCCAAGUUUAUCCAUUACCAGUUUGAUUAUGACAUGAGUUCUUGCCUUGUUCUUGGCAUCUGGAAUUGUAAUAGAGGACAAAAAUUGUUAGGUGAGUUCAAGUUCAGGUUUUUCUGUUUCUUUUGAAAAAUCUUUCACCAGUAUAAAUGGAAUGCUUGGAUGUUGGUUUUGGUUUGGUUUUGGUUUAGUUUUGUUCUUUUUCCAUUUUUUUCUUGCUCUUCUUACAUAUAAGUCUUCAGUGAGUCUUUCAGUUAAAAAUGUGAUUUGUAUUGGCUUUAAUGUUCAUUUUUUCCUUAUUUGGUUUACAGGUAACUAAAAACUGUAUCUGUCUAAUUAUUGCUUAGAUUGUAGUACUUUGUGCAAUUAUUUCUACUGUCUUGAUUCCAAUGAUUAUAAAUGUAAGUCGUAUGAUUCUUUGGUCACCCAUCAGCACCAAUGUGGUACUGCAAGGGAUAUUGACUUACCUUACAACUUGUUUCUCAGUUGUUUAUUUUAAAAUUUUCUUCUGCACAUUCCAAGGAUGCAUGGGACAUGGCUGCUGAAAUUUUCCUUUCUCAGCUUCCAUCGUUGGUUGAGGAUCGUAAUGUAGAGUUCCAAGUGUGUUUUUCUUCCAGAGUUAGAACUUACUUGAAUGUAAAUUAAAGGUUAAGGAUUUAAUAGGAGUAAUAUAGGGAUCUAUGGAUUUAUUUAAGGGUAAAUUUUAAGAUUUUUUGGUUGCAUAAGCCCUUGAAUUUAUGCUAAAAGUGGAAUUUAUUAUAAUUUUAUUAAUUAUUUUGAAAAAUCUAUAGCCAGGAAAAAGAAAAGAGAAAUAAAUAUGUAUAAAUUAUGUAAGUUCUUUGUGUAGCAUUUUAAGAACUUCAAAGCUCACAGAUGAUUUGUUAUACUCUAUAUGAGUUCAUUGAUUCUAUGUUUUUGCAAUUUUAGGUAUGAUCAUGGGUGCAGCAGCUUCAACUGAAAAGUACUUGUACAGGUCUGGAGUAGGUCAAUCAAGAAGCUCUGCUGGAAUUAAAUUGACAAUUGUAGUAUGCUUGUAGUUAAAGUUUCUUAUAGUGAACAUCAUGUUGUUUAUUCGGUAGAAGUUUCAAAUAUUUUACUUUUUAGAAGAAAGUGUAUUGUAGUCAUUAGAUUGGGUUUUCAAAUAUUGAUUAUGAAUAUUUUGAUCAAAUGAAAAGUUCUCUUGUUAAUAUUUUUGAACUCAAAAACAAUUUCAAAUGUGUCCAUUGUUAGGUUAUUUAAAUUUUCUAUGAUCAUUUAAGGUAAGAAUGAAUAUGAAAUGAUUAAAAAGGAAGUUGAAAUAUAUAUGGUCUUUAGUGGCGUUUUUGGGGAAAGCGCCGCUAAAGGUCAUGAUCUUUAGCGGCGUUUUUAGAGAAAGCGCCGCUAAAAGUCAUGACCUUUAGCGGCGUUUUUU